rnacentral:rRNA from 1 species
GUCAGGGCAGUUAUAAGAGAGGGAUGUUCCAAAUUUUUUUGGAGGAAGUUACAAAAUUGAUAGUUAGGCGAAAUUUCCUGGAAAGGAAUACCAUAGGGGGUAAUAGUCCUGUAGCCGAAAACUAUUCAAUCUUCUAGUCUCUUAUCUUGAGUACCUCGGAAAACGAUAACUCUGAGGGAAUUAGGCCGAACUAUAUGGCCAAGGCUAAAUACUAACCGGUCACCGAUAGUGAACUAGUACCGUGAGGGAAAGGUUAAAAGUAGCCCGUUGAGGGCGGUGAAAUAGAACCUGAAACCAUUUUGCCCACAAAGACUCCGAGUCUCUCGGCCGCAAGGCCUCGGGAUGAGGGGGUGCUUUUUGCAGAACGAACCAACGAGUUCACUUUUUAAUUUCGUCUAAUCCCGUCUCGGGAGGAGGCAUAGCGAAAGCGAGCGUUAAAUGCGCGCAAUAAAAAUUAAAAAGUGAGACCCGAAGCCAAGCGAGCUUGCCACGGCCAGGGUGAGUCAAGGAGAAAUCCUUGAGGAGGCCCGAACCCGUAGACCGUGCAAUAUCUUGGGAUGAGCUGUGGUAAGAAGUGAAAAGCUAAUCGAGCUUGGUAAUAGCUGGUUCUCCCCGAAAUAGUUUUAGGACUAGCAGCGCGUUUUCGCUUUCAGAGGUAGAGCACUAGAAAAAAUAUCUUGGCGAAAGCCAGAUAUUCUUACUAAACUCCGAAUACUGGAAGAUUAUACGCGCUAGUAAGAACCCGGGCGCUAAGGUCCGGGCUCAAAAGGGAAAAAGCCCUGAUCUUCGUCUAAGGUCCCUAAAUCUGGACUAAGUGUUUUUAAGGAAGUGAAGUUCCUUUGAUAGUUAGGAGGUUAGCUCAGAAGCAGCUACCCUUUAAAAAGUGCGUAACAGCUUACUAACUGAGGAAUUUUGCGCCAAAGAUACCCGGGACUAAGUCCAGUACCGAAGACAAGAAUUGUUAUUUUGUUUACAAAAUAACAGUGGUAGGGGAGCGUCCUUAAUGCAGUGAAGUCCCUCCGUAAGGUCGGGAUGGAGCGUUAAGGAGUGAGAAUGUUGGUAUGAGUAACCGCAAUGCAGGUGAAAGCCCUGCACACCGAAAGCCCGAGGUUUCCUUGGCAAGGGUAAUCCGCCAAGGGUUAGGCGAACCUUAGUCCACGACCGUUAGGUCGGGAUGACGGACAGCCGGUUAAUAUUCCGGCCCGGCCGCAAAAUAAUCUUGAAGCGACGCAGUCAAAAUUUUUGGGAGGAUUAUUGGAUUUCCGAGUUCCUCGAGCGCAAGCUCCCGGAACGCCUCAAAGACAAGAUUGCCCAGAAAAACUUCAAGUAUACUAUUUUGAUGGCCUUCGUACCGCACACUGACACAGGUGGGCAGGCGUGAAUACGCCAAGGUGAACGGGUGAAAGCUCCUAAAGGAACUCGGCAAAAAAGUAGGCGUAAGUUCGCGAUAUGCCUUGCCCCGACCCGCAAGGGUUUGGGGUUGCAACAAAAGAUUCCAAGCGACUGUUUAUCAAAGACACAGGUCCCUGCUAACUCGCAAGAGGAUGUAUAGGGGCUGAGAUCUGACCAGUGCCCGUGUGUUAACAGCGUCGGUCGCUGCGCGACGCAAGUUGCGUGGCGGCUACAUGCUCGAAGCCACAGGUGAACGUCCGCGGUAACUCUGACCGUGUUAAAGUAGCGUAACCCCUUGCCGUGUAAGUUACGGCCCGCAUGAAAGAUUUAACGACUUGGAAACUGUCUCUAGGAGCCGC